rnacentral:lncRNA from 1 species
GGGUGGGGUUCAUCCCACCCAGACCACAGAGACUGAAAAUAAGAAAGGGGUGAGGCCUAAGGGACAAUCAGGAUGUUUUUCAGAGAGAAGUGUGGAUGCUGGACAGGAAGAACCACAGAUACCAGAUACGGAAAAGGAAGAAUCAACACUUUCAGAGAUGGAGCCUGUUGAGCCACAGUACCAACUAGUCAAUGCUGAAUCGACUUCUCCCUUUCUACAUUGCCUGAGAGAAGUCAUUGGGGAAUACUCUGUACACGAAUUUUCACUGUUGGGGAAAACAGAGAGUCAAGGGAUUGGAUUGUGGAUUGCAUUGGUGGUUUUCCUCAGUUUCCUCAUCUUCUCCACAAGUUUCUACAUAUCGAAUGCAGAGCAGCCCUUCUUCAAAGGACCUCCUACGGAAGCUGCUAAGGAACUCAGUCUGUAGCUCUGCGUGGAGCCAUGUGUAAACACUGAACUGAGACCUGCCACCUCCUACUACCUAAGGGCCCAUUUUCAUCUGAUAUCAUCCCCCAGAAACAAACUCAUGAUGACUUCCAUGUUUUUUUUAGAUUAGAUACAUGGAGAAUUUUCCUUUCCCUUAGAAUUAAAAUCCUGCA